GAAAUACUUCCUCCGUCCUAAAAUUCUUGUCUUAGAUUUCUCUAGAUCUAAAUGUAUCUAGUCACGUUUUAGUACUUUGAUACGUUUAUUUCUAGAUAAACCUAUAACAAGAAUUUUGGGACGGAGGAAGUAAAAA
rfam:Hordeum vulgare subsp. vulgare, WGS project CAJW01000000 data, contig: morex_contig_42406